rnacentral:rRNA from 2 species
UGGGGAAUAUUGCACAAUGGGCGAAAGCCUGAUGCAGCGACGCCGCGUGAGUGAAGAAGUAUUUCGGUAUGUAAAGCUCUAUCAGCAGGGAAGAUAAUGACAGUACCUGACUAAGAAGCCCCGGCUAACUACGUGCCAGCAGCCGCGGUAAUACGUAGGGGGCAAGCGUUAUCCGGAUUUACUGGGUGUAAAGGGAGCGUAGGUGGCAUGGUAAGUCAGAAGUGAAAGCCCAGGGCUCAACCCUGGGACUGCUUUUGAAACUAUCAGGCUAGAGUGCAGGAGAGGUAAGUGGAAUUCCUAGUGUAGCGGUGAAAUGCGUAGAUAUUAGGAGGAACACCAGUGGCGAAGGCGGCUUACUGGACUGUAACUGACACUGAGGCUCGAAAGCGUGGGGAGCAAACAGG